AGACAAUAGAUACCCGGGUAGUCCUGGCAGUAAACGGUGCACGUUUGGUGUGGGAGGAUUCGACCCCUUCUGCGCCGGAGCUAAACGCGUUAAACGUGCCGCCUGGGGAGUACGGUCGCAAGAUUAAAACUCAAAGAAAUUGACGGGGGCCCGGCACAAGCGGUGGAGUAUGUGGCUUAAUUCGAUGCAACGCGAAGAACCUUACCUGGCCUUGACAUGCAUCUCUAAGUUGGUGAAAGCCAGCGAGUCCCGAAAGGGACAAUUUGCACAGGUGCUGCAUGGCUGUCGUCAGCUCGUGUCGUGAGGUGUUGGGUUAAGUCCCGCAACGAGCGCAACCCCUGUGAACUGUUGCCACCGACCCGCGAGGGUCGAGCACUCUGUUCAGACUGCCCUGUGAAACGGGGGUAGGAAGGUGGGGACGACGUCAAGUCAGUAUGGCCCUUACGGCCAGGGCUGCACACGUACUACAAUGCCCAGUACAGAACGAUCCAAGACCGCGAGGUGGAGGAAAUCUAUCAAAACUGGGCCCAGUUCGGAUUGGAGUCUGC
rnacentral:rRNA from 1 species